UGCUUUUCCCCUUGACUUGCUGAGGAGUGAUUUUUGAAUUUAAAAAUUGGGGACUAUGGGUAUACACCCUAUCCCCCCUCUGGUGACAUGUGCAAUACUCUGUCAUGAACAUGUUAAGUGUGUGUGUUUGGUGCUCAUGCUUGUGAUGAUUGUGAGAGAGUUAGUAUAACUACAAUUCCCAAAUAAUAUAAUUCAAGUUGUAUUUCAAGCCCUAGCACAUAUGCAGAAGGUGUGCAGCUUCGUGUACUUAGUCAAUUCAUAAUCCAGCCCUAGGCACAUAUGCAGAAGGUGUGCAGCUUCCAAGACAUAAUUAUUAUUGCAUAAAUCCCAGCACAGAUCAUAUAAGUCAUGGUUUUGCCCAAGUAAAGAAGUAGAAUAUUUCCCCAAUCCCUAUCAUGCUUACAUGUUCCCAUAAAAUACCCUAAGAUCAUAAUUUUGCCUAGUGAUAAAGCAUAAUACUCCCUCAUCAUGCUCACAUGUUUCCACGAGAUAAAGUUCAGCGAAGUACCUGAAUUACCACUUACAAGUGGUGUACCGUUUUCAUGUUAUGGUGUUUACCAUAUUCAUUUAAGUCUUUCCCCAAAGCUGUUUAUCCUGUGCUGUAAGAAUUCUUUAAGCAAAAGUAUUAGUAAAAUAUGAUAGCCCCUCAAGAUAUUCUCACUAAAGUACUGGCACCCCCACAAAUCUGUGGUUUCAUAACAAAUUUUUAAACACAAUAGAUGCGUUAAAUAUCAAUCAAUCCCCAAAUUUCACAGACUAUUGACAACAAAAAAUUACCCUCGCCAAGCAUGAAAAUGUAUAGCUCCAGCGACAUAAACCGUAUUUCAAUGAUAAAGUAAAUUUAACUUAACAUGUUAAACAAGUCGGUCCCAUUCUUGUAUUCAAAUUUCCUACACGAGCUUGUCCCAUAAAAGAAAUUUUCAGACACCAGUUUCACAUCCAUGAUAUGCAUAAGACCAAAGUGUAAUUUCAACAUGCCAAGACACAUAUAAUUGCAAUAGUAAAUCCCAAUUUAUCAAGCCAACCAAGAUCUUACUUGGUAAAGGAACAUCAUUGUAAGAGUAACUGAUCUAGAGAACAAACUUUUGACCACCACAUUAUGAGCAUAAGAGGAAGAAUAGAGUAUUGAAACAUGCACCACCCCUAAUCAUUCUCGUUGUCAAGAAAAAAUAUCCCUAAGCUUGAACAAGGGAAAGAUUAGCAGAAAACCAGUAUUAGUGAUUAACAUCCAACGAUGUCAAACAUUUCCCCACUGUUGACCCGGUUGGUCCCUUUCUCAUCUUGAUGAAUUGAGUUGGUUUCACGGAUUUUGCUUCGGUGAAGUCGAUGCUCCACUCCCGAUAACCCUCGCAUGAAUCAAUAAACAAUUGCAAUUAAAUAUCCAAAUAUAGAAAUGUCCCCAAAUGAAUUCAAUCAUGUUUAACUUAGAGUUAAGCUCUAAGAACUCAUCCUGAAGCAGGAGCAUACCCAAGGACUUGGGAUUAUAUCCCCAUCGUGAAUCAUAUUCAGAAAUUAAAAUAAUCAGAGCAAAAGUUACUAAAAUCAUGGAUGGCCCCCCGACUUAAUUUCACGGCACAAGUCACCAAACUACUAUACCACUAACGGGUGAAAAAUUAGAUAGUUCGUUCAGGGAUUUUAACUGUUAUUCUUAAAACAAAACUAUACUUCUCCACCCAUCUAACAUCCUUUAUGACCUAGUUUCCUUGCAUUUCUACUCAUCAUAUCACAAGUAUCAUUUGAGUCAACACAGCAAUAUGGAACUAAAAACAUAUCAGAUUACCCCAUAAGCAACAACAAGCAUACAUAUACAAUCUUAGCAGAGAAAAUCAAGUGGUUUUUCCGUUUUCAUGUUAUGGCGGUUCCCAUAUUUUGUUCAAGUUUUUCCCCCAGAGAUGUUUAUCCUGUGCUAUAAGAAUUCUUAAGCAAAAGUAUUAGUAAAAUAUGAGAACCCCUUGAGACGGGGCUGUACAUCGACUUUGAUCAUGUAAUCUACUAGAUCAAAGCUAUUUUGAUAUGCUUAUUCUCAACAAAAUAUUUCGUAUUCUUAGAAUCACCCAAUCACAAAUAACUAGGUACAAUAAUUAAGCUUUCCAUGUGCUACCUUUCCAUGUGUAUGGUGUCUACCAUAUUUAUUCAAGUCUUAGAAAGUAAGCUUCAAGAUAGCCCAUCCAAAAUAAAGUUGCCCAAACCGAGAAGCAAUUUUUCCCAAUUUCCCAAGCAACCCUGUAAGAAUUAAGAGAUUA
rnacentral:lncRNA from 1 species